UCUGAGGUCUUUAGCUCUCUAAUUUACCAUUCUCGUUGUAAUUCAAUGAAGUUUCUGGACUGGUACCUGAAGAUUGGAGUCGUAUCAGCUGCAAUCGGAGGCUCUAUGGAGUAUUUUAUGAUCAAAACCGGCUUCUAAUCAGUAAGAAAUCAAGUGGCGGUUUGGAUGCCGAUAGUGUUCAAUUGGAGAAUCUUACUGCUAGAAAAGUGGAAUCGGACAUUUCGGUUGAGGAAUUGCUUCGAUAUGGUGACCCGAACAAGAAGUCGAAACGGGUAUUCGAUAAAACACAAGAACUGACUUACGAACAGAAGCUCGAAAUAAGAAGGAAUUUGUUUAGAGAAUUCGCGUAUUUGAAAAAAAGAGUUUGCGAUGAUGAUGAUUCGUAUACUCUUGAACUAGAACAGGAGGGGCCGAAUAAGAAACGAAAUAAGUACGAAUGCUUGAACUGCAACAAGGUUUUUACGUCGUUUCAAGGGCUUGGCGGGCAUAGACCGUGUCACAAAAAGAA